GUUGAACGCUGGCGGCAGGCCUAACACAUGCAAGUCGAGCGGCAGCGGAAAGUAGCUUGCUACUUUGCCGGCGAGCGGCGGACGGGUGAGUAAUGUCUGGGAAACUGCCUGAUGGAGGGGGAUAACUACUGGAAACGGUAGCUAAUACCGCAUAACGUCGCAAGACCAAAGAGGGGGACCUUCGGGCCUCUUGCCAUCAGAUGUGCCCAGAUGGGAUUAGCUAGUAGGUGGGGUAACGGCUCACCUAGGCGACGAUCCCUAGCUGGUCUGAGAGGAUGAGCAGCCACACUGGAACUGAGACACGGUCCAGACUCCUACGGGAGGCAGCAGUGGGGAAUAUUGCACAAUGGGCGCAAGCCUGAUGCAGCCAUGCCGCGUGUAUGAAGAAGGCCUUAGGGUUGUAAAGUACUUUCAGCGGGGAGGAAGGUGUUGAGGUUAAUAACCUCAGCAAUUGACGUUACCCGCAGAAGAAGCACCGGCUAACUCCGUGCCAGCAGCCGCGGUAA
rnacentral:rRNA from 1 species